UGAUUUUCUCAUUGAAAUUAGAAACCCCAUACAUACCCCCUUUCUCUCUCCUCUUUUCCUCUCUGCCUCCUAUUUUCAUUUCUCUUCAUCAACCUAGUUUUCUCGCCUUCUCUCUUUCGUUGUAAAGCAAGUUAUCAGUUUCUUCAAAUUGAGCCUUUUGUAACUCUUUAUGUGUGGAACAACUAGCAGUUUUUUUAUGGAAGACGCUGCUGUAGCGAUUUCAGAAGCCUCGGUUCGUCGUUCGAUCGGUAUUUUUGCGACGAAUCAGAGCUUCAGGGGUUCGGAGACGCUACUGCUGUCGAUUAGACAUAGGGUUCCAUCGCUAGAGAUUCCAGGAAGAAAGAUGAUAUGGUUUUCACAUGAUUUUUUGUUGGUUUAAGUGAUUUCAUCUUCUUUGACAGACCUUUAAAUGACAUCUAACUACUCUUAUGAGUUGCUGCUCGUACUUAAAUUUAAAGCAAAACUCAAUAAUUAAUGAUGAGUUCCCUUCUAAAAGGAAAUUGAAAAGGAUUUCCCAUCUUGAUCUUGAUAGAGAAGAUUCUAACGACGUUCUUGAGGAUGUUCGCCUGAAAUUUAAGCGCAAUUUUUAUGUUGGAGCUGCAACACAGUUAAAUUUGACCAUAUUAGCUUGAUUGGUACAUCGUCUUGACAGAGAAAGUAGUGGGAUCCUCUUGAUGGGGAGGACAAAGGAGAGCGCUUCUUAUCUUCAACAUCUAUUCAUCAACAUUAAUGUGGCAAAAACAUCUUGUCUGGCCUGGAAUGAUUCUUGUGAAGCAACUUUCACGAGAUAUUGGGCAUUGGUUGUUGGGUCCCCUAGAGAAAAGGAAGGUGUAAUAUGUGCUCCUCUCACAAAGGUCCUUCUUGAUGACGGGAAAACUGAGAGGGUCAUGCUGGCUCAUCCAUCAGGUUUAGAAGAUUCUCAAGAAGCUAUGACCGAGUAUCGAGUGCUUGGCCCUAUGAUCAAUGGGUGUUCAUGGAUUGAGCUACGCCCGCUUACCAGUCGGAAACAUCAGGAAGAAUGUAUAUGUAGAAGCCCUAACAAUUGAAUCCAAACCUAAGCAAGAGGACAGUUGCACUCGUGAACCUUCGAAGCUCCGAAUGGAAAUCUUAGAUGUUCCCGAGGUAUUUGAAGCUAACGAAAUGAGCAAGAAAAAUAGCAUUGCAAGUGUACCCAGGAAGGUUUCAUACAACUUCUUAUUACUUUUUUCGUUUUCUUAAGCUGACUUUUUCAUCUUAGCUUACUAGCACCCCAUGUGCUGCAAUAUGGUGUUGACUUGUUUAAAUUUGUUGGCUUUACAUUUAUUUGCUGUUUUGAAGCAACUAGCUACCAUUACAGCUCGCUCUGUCGGUCCACAAGCAAGGUCUCUCUCGCGGGCCAAAAGCGAAUAAGAAAACCAGAAAUAGGGCAUAUGAUAUCCUUGUCCAAAUUGGUCAUGUUUGUGGAGAUGAAGAGAGGGGUGGGAAAACGGAGACCUUGCUUCAAUUCUUCAAUUUGGUAAAGAGAUUCUAAGGGUGAACUUCAGUUGAUGAGCGGUUCAAUUCAGCCCAUAGACGUUUGGCACAGUCGUGGUGUUAGGUACCAUAUGCAGUUUAAUGAGUUCAACCAACCAAUUAGGAAAGGUGGGCAUAUCUUGGUGCGAUUUCUAGGAAGUGUAGCAAAGGAUGGGACCUAUUGUCCAAUUGGAGAAAAGAAUUGGCAUCAUGUUGAUGUGAAACUCAAAACUAAAAUUGUUAUGAAGAUGAGAGAACAUUUUGUGAUUCCUGAGGAUGAGGUCUAUAAUACAUUAGCUCUCCAACGUGUUGACAAAUGUUGGAGACACUAUAAACACUCGCUUAAUUGACAUUCUUCAAACCCGAUAAGCUCACAAAGGAAGAACAUUAUGAUAUUGUGCCUAGUGGACAUACUCGUUCUGAAUGGAAACCAUUGGUUCAGUAUUAGUUCUCACACAAAGGACAGCAAUUGUCUCAACUUGGAAAAGCGGCACGAGCAGCUCAAAAUCAAGUUCAUACAUUAGUAACUACUAGUUACGCUAAUAUACGAGCUGAUUAUGAAGAUGAGCAUGGAGAAGAAAUGAGCUUGAUUGAACUUUGGGAAGCAACUCAUAAGAGGAAGGAUGGAACCUAUCUUGAAGGCACAGACACUUCAGACUUUUUGGAGGAUGCAAAGGCAAAGGUUGAUUCAUUAAACUUUGUAAUCCUACUAUGCUCGUGUUGACGUUGAGAAUGAAGCCUUUAAGCUGUCAUGAAUGGAGAUGAAGUACCUGAACGACCCAGGGAUAUGGAUUUGGGGUGAAAAAAAGUGAUAUUCAUGGGGUGCGUGGUGAACUUAGAAAAGAAGGUUAUGGAAAACUUAAAAGGAGACAUGUGGAAUUGAAAACAUUGUGGAAACAUCUUUAUUGAAGAAGAGAAAUGAGGAACUUGAAAAACAAAACAAAGAGAAACUAACAAGUUUGAUGAGCAUACUAAGAUGAUGAAGACCGUUGCUACACAUUUUUCUCUAGUGUUGGAUGCGGUGCGUGAUGGAAAAGCUUCUGCUCAACUUAUAGAUGCUGCAAAGUCAGCUAUGCAUUUGAUUACUACAGAGGAUCAAGAUGAUGGUGAAGGAAAAGAAGCCAAGGAUCCAUUAAAUUAGUACAACUCGUAAAGUUAUUAAUGAUUUGAAAAGGUCUUGUAAAAGAUAUAUUUCUUUUGUUAUGUUUUUUUUGUAAGGUUUUAAGAAGUUGAUAGUAGACAUUAUCUAAUUGACUUAUUUGUGAUCGAACAAAAUAUUUUAGUGUGUAUUUAAUCAUUAGAUUAAUGACAGAUAUUAAUAUUAUUAUAUAA